rnacentral:rRNA from 1 species
CCUACGGGCGGCAGCAGUAGGGAAUAUUGCUCAAUGGGGGAAACCCUGAAGCAGCAACGCCGCGUGGAGGAUGAAGGUUUUCGGAUUGUAAACUCCUUUUGUUAGAGAAGAUAAUGACGGUAUCUAACGAAUAAGCACCGGCUAACUCCGUGCCAGCAGCUGCGGUAAUACGGAGGGUGCAAGCGUUACUCGGAAUCACUGGGCGUAAGGAGCGAGUAGGCGGGAUAGCAAGUCAGAUGUGAAAUCCUAUGGCUUAACCAUAGAACUGCAUUUGAAACUGUUAUUCUAGAGUAUGGGAGAGGUAGGUGGAAUUCUUGGUGUAGGGGUAAAAUCCGUAGAGAUCAAGAGGAAUACUCAUUGCGAAGGCGACCUGCUAGAACAUAACUGACGCUGAUGCGCGAAAGCGUGGGGAGCAAACAGGAUUAGAUACCCGAGUAGUC